UACGUAGGGGGCAAGCGUUGUCCGGAAUCAUUGGGCGUAAAGCGCGCGUAGGUGGCCCGGUAAGUCCGCUCUGAAAGUCAAAGGCUCAACCUUUGAAAGCGGGUGGAUACUGUCGGGCUAGAGUCCGGAAGAGGCGAGUGGAAUUCCUGGUGUAGCGGUGAAAUGCGCAGAUAUCAGGAGGAACACCAGUGGCGAAGGCGGUGCUCUGGGCUGGAACUGACACUGAGGAGCGAAAGCGUGGGGAGCGAACAGGG
rnacentral:rRNA from 1 species